rnacentral:rRNA from 1 species
UUAAGCGACUAAGCGUACACGGUGGAUGCCCUGGCAGUCAGAGGCGAUGAAGGACGUGCUAAUCUGCGAAAAGCGUCGGUAAGGUGAUAUGAACCGUUAUAACCGGCGAUGUCCGAAUGGGGAAACCCAGUGCAAUUCGUUGCACUAUCGUUAACUGAAUACAUAGGUUAACGAGGCGAACCGGGGGAACUGAAACAUCUAAGUACCCCGAGGAAAAGAAAUCAACCGAGAUUCCCCCAGUAGCGGCGAGCGAACGGGGAGCAGCCCGGAGUCUGAAUCAGCUUGUGUGUUAGUGGAAGCGUCUGGAAAGUCGCAGGGUACAGGGUGAUACUCCCGUACACUAAAACACACAGGUUGUGAACUCGAAGAGUAGGGCGGGACACGUGGUAUCCUGUCUGAAUAUGGGGGGACCAUCCUCCAAGGCUAAAUACUCCUGACUGACCGAUAGUGAACCAGUACCGUGAGGGAAAGGCGAAAAGAACCCCGGCGAGGGGAGUGAAAAAGAACCUGAAACCGUGUACGUACAAGCAGUAGGAGCCCACUAGUUGGGUGACUGCGUACCUUUUGUAUAAUGGGUCAGCGACUUAUAUUCUGUAGCAAGGUUAACCGUAUAGGGGAGCCGCAGGGAAACCGAGUCUUAACUGGGCGUUAAGUUGCAGGGUAUAGACCCGAAACCCGGUGAUCUAGCCAUGGGCAGGUUGAAGGUUGGGUAACACUAACUGGAGGACCGAACCGACUAAUGUUGAAAAAUUAGCGGAUGACUUGUGGCUGGGGGUGAAAGGCCAAUCAAACCGGGAGAUAGCUGGUUCUCCCCGAAAGCUAUUUAGGUAGCGCCUCGUGAACUCAUCUUCGGGGGUAGAGCACUGUUUCGGCUAGGGGGUCAUCCCGACUUACCAACCCGAUGCAAACUACGAAUACCGAAGAAUGUUAUCACGGGAGACACACGGCGGGUGCUAACGUCCGUCGUGAAGAGGGAAACAACCCAGACCGCCAGCUAAGGUCCCAAAGUCAUGGUUAAGUGGGAAACGAUGUGGGAAGGCCCAGACAGCCAGGAUGUUGGCUUAGAAGCAGCCAUCAUUUAAAGAAAGCGUAAUAGCUCACUGGUCGAGUCGGCCUGCGCGGAAGAUGUAACGGGGCUAAACCAUGCACCGAAGCUGCGGCAGCGACACUAUGUGUUGUUGGGUAGGGGAGCGUUCUGUAAGCCGUUGAAGGUGGCCUGUGAGGGUUGCUGGAGGUAUCAGAAGUGCGAAUGCUGACAUAAGUAACGAUAAUGCGGGUGAAAAACCCGCACGCCGGAAGACCAAGGGUUCCUGUCCAACGUUAAUCGGGGCAGGGUGAGUCGACCCCUAAGGCGAGGCCGAAAGGCGUAGUCGAUGGGAAACAGGUUAAUAUUCCUGUACUUGGUGUUACUGCGAAGGGGGGACGGAGAAGGCUAUGUUGGCCGGGCGACGGUUGUCCCGGUUUAAGCAUGUAGGCGGAUGUUCCAGGUAAAUCCGGAACGUUACUAACGCUGAGGUGUGAUGACGAGGCACUACGGUGCUGAAGUGACAAAUGCCCUGCUUCCAGGAAAAGCCUCUAAGCAUCAGGUAACAUCAAAUCGUACCCCAAACCGACACAGGUGGUCAGGUAGAGAAUACCAAGGCGCUUGAGAGAACUCGGGUGAAGGAACUAGGCAAAAUGGUGCCGUAACUUCGGGAGAAGGCACGCUGAUGGUAGGUGAAGUGACUUGCUCAUGGAGCUGAAAUCAGUCGAAGAUACCAGCUGGCUGCAACUGUUUAUUAAAAACACAGCACUGUGCAAACACGAAAGUGGACGUAUACGGUGUGACGCCUGCCCGGUGCCGGAAGGUUAAUUGAUGGGGUUAUCCUCGCGGAGAAGCUCUUGAUCGAAGCCCCGGUAAACGGCGGCCGUAACUAUAACGGUCCUAAGGUAGCGAAAUUCCUUGUCGGGU